AUUGAACGCUGGCGGCAUGCCUAACACAUGCAAGUCGAGCGGAUGAAGGGAGCUUGCUCCUGGAUUCAGCGGCGGACGGGUGAGUAAUGCCUAGGAAUCUGCCUGGUAGUGGGGGAUAACGUCCGGAAACGGGCGCUAAUACCGCAUACGUCCUGAGGUGGAAAGUGGGGGUUCUUCGGACCUCACGCUAUCAGAUGAGCCUAGGUCGGAUUAGCUAGUUGGUGGGGUAAAGGCCUACCAAGGCGACGAUCCGUAACUGGUCUGAGAGGAUGAUCAGUCACACUGGACCUGAGACACGGUCCAGACUCCUACGGGAGGCAGCAGUGGGGAAUAUUGGACAAUGGGCGAAAGCCUGAUCCAGCCAUGCCGCGUGUGUGAAGAAGGUCUUCGGAUUGUAAAGCACUUUAAGUUGGGAGGAAGGGCAGUAAGUUAAUACCUUGCUGUUUUGACGUUACCAAAAGAAUAAGCACCGGCUAACUUCGUG
rnacentral:rRNA from 1 species